GACUCCAUGCUCAGCAUGAAGUUCAACAUGGGAUUCGAUCCUAUGACCUUGGGAUCGUGACCUGAGCUGAAAUCACGGGUUGAAUGCCCAAUGGACAGAGCCUAUCAGCCUCACUCUUCAUAUGUGUUCCAUCUAAUAUCAACAGCUCUUACAAGUGCAAGGAUAAGUGGUUGCCUUUUUUAUAGGCAUGACUCAUGGGAGAGGACCGAUGGCUUUCGGCAUAGGAUGGAGAAGGAUUGAGAUGACAUAAUCAGAUUUUCCACCAAGAUCUUUGUCCAGG